GCGUCACACAGCCAAUGGUUUGCCAUUUUAUUAUCCAUUUGACAGAUGGGGAAACUGAGGCAAAUUGGUUAAGUGAGUGGCCCAGGGACUCACAGCUAGUGAGUGUCUGAGAUCUGACUUGAGCUUAGGAAGAUGAGCCUUCCUUCCUCCAAGCCCAGAAAUCUAGCCGCCGCACCACCUAGCUGCCUUUAUUACUUCAGCCUUUAAGCUGGACUCCAGCCAAACAGGUCUAUACCCCCUCCUUCCCCUCUUCCCCCUCCCCCCAUGUGUAUAUGUCUGUCUAGUUAUUUGUCUUUCUAUCUCUCAUGUUUGUCUUUCGACAUGGCUUUGCUCACGCAUUCCUGCCUGCAUGUUCUCUUUUUUCACCCUUCUGUUGACUUCCUCCCAUCCUUCAAGGCCCAGAACAAGGAGAGACAGAAAUGGUUAGAUUUGCUCCCAGUCUUCACACCCAAAACCCGCUGCCUCCAGAACACAAAUCAGGAGAAGAAAAGGUUGUAGGGGAGGAAGACACAGGAUGGGGAGAAGGAUAAUGCUUGGGAUCUCGUCCAGCCCCUAGCUUUUGGGAUCCCCUAUAUUUUAAGACAUGGAAAAUGACCCAGAUAAUCUGCACUUGUUUCCCUAUUUGUACACUGAGAGAUUGGGGCUGCUUCUAAGAACACUCUGCACCAAGUCUUUCAGAUGGGGAAACUGAGGCUUAGAGAGGGGAGUAGCUUGCAAGUCUCAAGGAUAGUAGUAAUAAUAACUAGCUUUAAUUAUAAGGCAGCCAGGUGGUGCAGUUGAUUGCUGGGACUAGUAAAAAAAAGACUCAUUUUCCUGAGUUCAAAUCUGGCUCUGGUUAGUUAUUAACUGUGUGAUUCUGGAUAAGUCACUUUAUCUCAUUUGCCUCAGUUACCUUAUCUGUAAAAUGAGUUGGAGAAGAAGUGGCAAGUCAUUUCAGCAUCUUUGCCAAAAAACUCCAGUCGUGACUGAAAACAGAGCUGUGUUUCAAGGUUUACAAAGUGCUUUGCAGAGAUUUUCUCUUGAUCCUCACCUAGAGUGGUAACUACUCUUAUCAUCCUCAUUUUACAGAGGAGGAAACUGAGGCUGAAAGAAGUGAAUUGAUUUGUCCAAGGUCAUACACCUAGUAAGUUUCAGGGAGAUGGGAUUUGAAUUCAGGACUCCCCAACUUGAAGUCCGGCAGCUCAUUCUCCAGUUCACCGCCCGCUGAAGAGGUUUGCAACCGAGAUAGGGAGAAGUCCAGCUGACGUGUUAAGAUCAUCAAUCGCGAGCUGAAAGGGGCUCCUCUUCAUUUCAUAGCAACCAAGUCAAAGACAGGAAGCCCUUUACUGCUAAAGCCUCCCCCUUCCCCCCCAGCACCUUGAAUUCACCCAUGCCAGCCAACGGAUGGGUGCCUAUCAUCAAAAAGCCUGGCCAUGCCCCCUUAAGACUGCAAACAAAGCCAAGAAAGUGCGAGAAUUUAGAAUGCUCGCGAAGCCUUUGGAGUACAUGACACAGAAUAUCAGCAUCACAGACUGAGGAAUCUCCGAAGCCAUUUAACUCUAUGUGUAGCUGAACAGGAAUCUCCCAAUAACACAAUCACACGGUACCAGGGAGGAAAGAGUUGGGAAAUGUGAAUUCAAGUCCUGAUUUUCUCCUUUGCUAUUUGUGGGGUCCUAGUUCUGACCUCAGGAAACAAGAAUAACAAGUUGAUACUGUCUCCCAAUAUUGGCCUGGCACCCACUUCACCACAGCCGCCAUUGCUUCCCUCCCAAGCCUCCUCAUCUCUUCCACCCAUCUUUAUCUGCAUUAUUCUAGACUCCCUCUUCUGAAGGUGUUCCAGCUCUACUGUGUGGUCCCAGCCCUGAGCACCAUGUGCCAAAUGUGCUUUGGUCAAGGCAGAAAAUAGUGGGACUGCUGUGGCCGUUUAAUUCAAUGUAACAAAACAUUCAGUAAGCACCUA